rnacentral:rRNA from 1 species
AUACGGAGGGUCCAAGCGUUGUCCGGAAUCACUGGGUGUAAAGGGUGCGCAGGCGGGCUUGUAAGUCAGAGGUGAAAUCCCCCGGCCUAACCGGGGAACUGCCUUUGAUACUGCAAGUCUUGAGUCUUGGAGAGGUUGCCAGAAUUCGUGGUGUAGCGGUGAAAUGCGUAGAUAUCACGAGGAAUACCUGAUGCGUAGGCGGGCAACUGGACAAGUACUGACGCUGAGGCACGAAAGCGUGGGGAGCGAACAGGAUUAGAAACCCCAGUAGUCC